AUUUAUUUAGGAUUUGUUUAAGAUUUUUUUAAGAUUUAGUUAGGAUUUGGUUAGGAUUUGACUAAGAUUUAUUUAGGAUUUUAUUAGGAUUUGUUUAGAAUUUGAUUUUGAUUUGUUUAGGAUUUGAUUAGGAUUUGGUUAGAAUUUGUUUAGGAUUUGAUUAAGAUUUGGUUAAGAUAUGUUUAGGAUUUGUUUAGGAUUUGUUUUAGAUUUGAUUAGAGUUUAUUUAGGAUUUAUUUAAGAUUUAUUUAGAUUUUUGUGUAGAUUUGUUUAGGAAUUUUUGAGGAUUUGAUGAAGAUUUAUUUAGAAUUUGGUUUAUGUUUAAUUAGGAUUUGAUUAGAAUUUAUUAAGGUUUGACUAUGAUUUAUUUAGUAUUUGAUUAGAAUUUGACUAGAAUUUAAUUAGGUUUUGAUUAAGAUUUAAUUAAGAUUUCUAUUUUAAUAUUUUAUUAAGAUUUCUAUUUUAGUAUAUUUUUGAAUUCUAUAUUAUAUCUUUAUGAUUGUUUUAA
rnacentral:lncRNA from 1 species